AGAGAGUUUUAAUUAAACAUUGGACAAAUAAAGAUCUGAGUAUUCAUUUUUUAUAUGUGGAACUGAGCAGGACUUCCUGUAGGCACACCAACAGACCAUAUAAAAAGGGCUCCCCCACAGUUGGUUACUCCACAAGUGUCCGAUACUUCGAAAACAUCUCAUCAGAUCCACUAGGAAAGCAGAUCAACCCAACCUGCUCUAAGAUGACAGUAGAUGACAGCCUCUCCUUGUUUGACUCCUUCUGUCAAUAUCCUUGCUACUAUCCACCGCUUCAGCGUCCCUGGUGGCGAUUUCCCCGUCGCUAUGUCCCCAGGUGGUGGGGCCCCUGCUAUCCUCAAUGGGGUUGUGACACCAGCUAUGUCCCAAUACCUUGGGGCCCCUGCUAUCCUGAAAGGUACUACCCUGGUGGCUGGCCAUGUUAAGCCCAGACGUAACUUUGACAGAUCAUCCUGGAAAGAAGACAAGAUUCUGACCCUUGGCUGAAUGGAUGGACGUAGGAUUCAGAAGUGCCGAGUGCUCCACAGACCCUACUGCACAACUGUUGGGAUUUGUGAGGGCUCAGUAUGUCUGUUAAUUCAUAUGAUGCUUUGACUUUAUUGCUUUGGCUUCCUGAUCUUUGCAUGCAUACUUCUUGUUUUGGAACAGGCUCCUUUUCCGCAGCCACACCCAUCACCUUGUAUUUGAGCCAUUUGUGAUGUGCUUACAACCUCUGGCUCCUUCAUUUUCUCAUUAAAGCGUAUCAUAUAUCAUAGAA